UGAGCUGUGGCUGAGCAUAUCUGAUUGCUGGAUUUCUCUGCAUGACCAGUGCUUCGGAGUACCCAAAAUAUCAAAGAGGGUUUGUGACUGAAAAGUCAACUGGAUCAGAUAAAUGCAAUGGUUCAUUUACAGAACUAGGAAAAGACAGUUGAAAAUGCUAGUGUUAGAAGGAAAUGGAAGGAAAGCAUGUGUUUUACACACACAAAUAUAGAUGAGUUAAAUAAAAACCCUUAAAGCUUGCUCAGGAAAAGACAGCCAGAAAGCAGCCAGAACAAACAAACAAACGAACAAACCACUAAUCUACCAAAAAUGAUCUAUUGUUUGUGGGGAAACCGAAAGAAACACAUUGAUGAUGGACGACUGGUGAAUGAAAGAAGCACAUUUCAUGGAAGGAGCAGAGAAAACUGAAAACUCAGGGCAUGUCUACACUUACUGGGAAUCGACGCUGUGGUGAUUGAUAUAUCAGGGGUCAAUUUAAUGGGUCUAGUGAAGACCCUCUAAAAUCAACCACAGAUCGCUCUCCUGUCAACUCCGAUACUCCACUAGAACAAGAAGAAUAAGGAAUUUGUGCAGGCACAAUCAGGCUUCGUGCAUAACAAUUCAGAGACUGUGUCUGAAAAUUUGAUUCUUCCAGCCCAAUAACAAAAUGGUCUCCAAUCUCCUGCAAACCAGACUCGUGCA